GUGAAAGCUUGUACCAGAGAUGAGUAGGGAGAUCUCCAACGCUCGGCUUUUCGUGAUACCAGCUAGAUUGGAGCGUCGACGUGACUCCUAGGCGGCCACGCACCGGAGGUGGCCCAUUUCCGACCUGUCACCCAGGCGGCCAUUCACCGAAGGUGGCCCACAAUCGUGUAUAUAUAGAUAUACUCGGUCGCUCGAGCAAGUGGUUGCCAAUCGCAUCCUUGUCCCCGCUCGCACAGAUGUUUCCAGGAAUGCAAGAAUUGGGAUUUUUCUUGUUUCGAUUAUGAAUGUCAGUGAAUAAAAGUAUC